rnacentral:rRNA from 1 species
GGUUCAGGACGAACGCUGGCGGCGUGCUUAACACAUGCAAGUCGAGCGAUGAAGCUCCUUCGGGAGUGGAUUAGCGGCGGACGGGUGAGUAACACGUGGGUAACCUGCCUCAUAGAGGGGAAUAGCCUUUCGAAAGGAAGAUUAAUACCGCAUAAGAUUGUAGUACCGCAUGAUACAGCAAUUAAAGGAGUAAUCCGCUAUGAGAUGGACCCGCGUCGCAUUAGCUAGUUGGUGAGGUAACGGCUCACCAAGGCGACGAUGCGUAGCCGACCUGAGAGGGUGAUCGGCCACAUUGGGACUGAGACACGGCCCAGACUCCUACGGGAGGCAGCAGUGGGGAAUAUUGCACAAUGGGGGAAACCCUGAUGCAGCAACGCCGCGUGAGUGAUGACGGCCUUCGGGUUGUAAAACUCUGUCUUUGGGGACGAUAAUGACGGUACCCAAGGAGGAAGCCACGGCUAACUACGUGCCAGCCGCAGC